GACGAACGCUGGCGGCGUGCUUAACACAUGCAAGUCGAACGGGAAGAAAAGAAAGAGCUUGCUCUUUUUUGGAAUCUAGUGGCAAACGGGUGAGUAACACGUAAACAACCUGCCUUCAGGAUGGGGACAACAGGCGGAAACGACUGCUAAUACCGAAUACCUUCCAAUUUCCGCAUGGAGAUAGGAAGAAAGGGUGGCCUCUACUUGUAAGCUAUCGCCUGAAGAGGGGUUUGCGUCUGAUUAGCUAGUUGGUGAGGUAACGGCCCACCAAGGCGACGAUCAGUAGCCGGUCUGAGAGGAUGAACGGCCACACUGGAACUGAGACACGGUCCAG
rnacentral:rRNA from 1 species